UGUUUGUGCGAUAGGUUAUUCAAGUCUAUAAGUUAAAAUUUUCAACAUAUAUCUGACAUUACUAUUGUUUGAAUACUCCGACCAGUUCAUCCCAAAUCUCACUGGAUGUAGGCAUUUAUAUUCAAAGAAAUUCAUUAUUGAUAUUGUAGACACCUAUUUUUGUCCCUUCCAAAUUCAAUUCAUCCAUUUUUAUAUCACGUUAUCAUAUACCUCCACCCAUGUGAUUAUUUAUCCACGAGAAAAAAACAAAAAUAACAAAACUUUUAACAAAAUGAACCACCCAACCAAUCAAAUUUUAACAAGCACUACCUUACCUAACCACCCUACCCCCUUUCACCCAUAUCGAACCCCACUCAUAUUUUUCCCAUUUUUGGUUUUUCCAUAACCGAAUCAGUAACAAGGAGAGAGAGAGGGGGAUACGGAUAGUGAGGGAAAAAAAAGGGCGAGAUACACAUAUCAUCAUCUUUCCAUGGAUUAGAAAUCAUAGGGAACAGAUCGAAGAGGGGUAGGGGGAAUUCCUUCUUGGCUUUCUUCUUCUCCAUCGAAAAUACAGAGACACACCAUUCUUUUUCUUUUCUCCAAGAACACACACACCUCUAGACCAAAUAUACUGCACAGAAAAGGGAGCAACAGAGAGAGAGAUUGGGACGCGAGAGAGAGAAACGAGGGUUGAAUCGAAAAGGUGAACGGAAAUCGCUACGAUUCUAGUGGGUUUGAGUUUUUCUGGCGACCUCUGCGCAAGAGCUGACUGUUUCUAAGAAUUGUAAAGCGACUUGGGCCGAAAAACAUCGAAAUUCACUGAAAAAUCCGACCCUUUCGUCAGUUUUUUUUUUGUGCUCUUCGCAGCCCUCGCCGGAGCUCCGUUUAGUAUUGAUUUGUUUUCUUCUGUUGGAUUCUGGGGAUUUUGGGACUCGUCGGUUUUCGUACUGUUUAUGGAAAUUUGGGUACUGUUUGGGUCUUAAUCAGAUUGUUGUGAUUAGUUUUGGAUCGUUGUUCCGCUAUUCGGGUCGGAAUCAUCGCUUUUGAGGUUCUAUUCCAAGUUUCAGGUCUGGGUUUUUGAUAUUAUCGACGAAAGCAAGAUCUAUUCAGUCGGAGAAUGCCCCGAAGUAUUUGGUACCCGGAGGACGUUCGUGACGAAGGCCCGAGGCUUCGGGUAGAGCAUAGUCUAUGAUUAGCUUAUAAAUUGGAUUUAUAUUUUUACAUUUUUCUAUUUUUGGAUUGUAUAAUUGGACUGGACAUUAAAUUUUGGAUUGUUUUUGUGUUGUUCGCUUGA